AACUGAUACUACCUGCGGGAACCUGCGGAAGGAUCAUUACUGAGGUUAUUCGGCUUCACAGCCGGUCACCCGUCCUUUUGUCAUUAGAUUUCUCUCUGCACCCUCUCACGAGGGGGCGAGAGGUGGUCAUUUCCGCCGAAGCGUUGCGUCCUGCCCGAGAGGGUGGGCUCCGCGACCGCGGCGGGCCAUUUUUACAAACUCUGUAUGCAAGCUGAAGUCUGAAUUACAAGAAAUUGAAAA
rnacentral:misc_RNA from 1 species